rnacentral:rRNA from 1 species
CAUGCAGGUCGAGGGGCAGCAUUUCAGUUUGCUUGCAAACUGGAGAUGGCGACCGGCGCACGGGUGAGUAACACGUAUCCAACCUGCCGAUAACUCGGGGAUAGCCUUUCGAAAGAAAGAUUAAUACCCGAUGGNAUAAUCAGACCGCAUGGUCUUAUUAUUAAAGAAUUUCGGUUAUCGAUGGGGAUGCGUUCCAUUAGGCAGUUGGUGAGGUAACGGCUCACCAAACCUUCGAUGGAUAGGGGUUCUGAGAGGAAGGUCCCCCACAUUGGAACUGAGACACGGUCCAAACUCCUACGGGAGGCAGCAGUGAGGAAUAUUGGUCAAUGGGCGCAGGCCUGAACCAGCCAAGUAGCGUGAAGGAUGACUGCCCUAUGGGUUGUAAACUUCUUUUAUAUGGGAAUAAAGUUUUCCACGUGUGGAAUUUUGUAUGUACCAUAUGAAUAAAGGAUCGGCUAACUCCGUGCCAGCAGCCGCGGUAAUACGGAGGAUCCCGAGCGUUAUCCGGAUUUAUUGGGUUUAAAGGGAGCGUAGGUGGACAGUUAAGUCAGUUGUGAAAGUUUGCGGCUCAACCGUAAAAUUGCAGUUGAUACUGGCUGUCUUGAGUACAGUAGAGGUGGGCGGAAUUCGUGGUGUAGCGGUGAAAUGCUUAGAUAUCACGAAGAACUCCGAUUGCGAAGGCAGCUCACUGGACUGCAACUGACACUGAUGCUCGAAAGUGUGGGUAUCAAACAGGAUUAGAUACCCUGGUAGUCCACACAGUAAACGAUGAAUACUCGCUGUUUGCGAUAUACAGUAAGCGGCCAAGCGAAAGCAUUAAGUAUUCCACCUGGGGAGUACGCCGGCAACGGUGAAACUCAAAGGAAUUGACGGGGGCCCGCACAAGCGGAGGAACAUGUGGUUUAAUUCGAUGAUACGCGAGGAACCUUACCCGGGCUUAAAUUGCAUUUGAAUAAUCUGGAAACAGGUUAGCCGCAAGGCAAAUGUGAAGGUGCUGCAUGGUUGUCGUCAGCUCGUGCCGUGAGGUGUCGGCUUAAGUGCCAUAACGAGCGCAACCCUUAUCUUUAGUUACUAACAGGUCAUGCUGAGGACUCUAGAGAGACUGCCGUCGUAAGAUGUGAGGAAGGUGGGGAUGACGUCAAAUCAGCACGGCCCUUACGUCCGGGGCUACACACGUGUUACAAUGGGGGGUACAGAAGGCAGCUACCUGGUGACAGGAUGCUAAUCCCAAAAGCCUCUCUCAGUUCGGAUCGAAGUCUGCAACCCGACUUCGUGAAGCUGGAUUCGCUAGUAAUCGCGCAUCAGCCAUGGCGCGGUGAAUACGUUCCCGGGCCUUGUACACACCGCCCGUCAAGCCAUGAAAGCCGGGGGUACCUGAAGUACGAACCGCAAGGAGCUCCUAGG